ACCCCUGGGGUAUUGCUCAGUCAGUAGAGCGUGAUCCUCUUAAUUUCAGGUCGUGGGUUCGAGCCCCACGCUGGGCA